UACGAAGGGGGCUAGCGUUGCUCGGAAUCACUGGGCGUAAAGCGCACGUAGGCGGCUUUUUAAGUCAGGGGUGAAAUCCUGGAGCUCAACUCCAGAACUGCCUUUGAUACUGAAGAUCUUGAGUUCGGGAGAGGUGAGUGGAACUGCGAGUGUAGAGGUGAAAUUCGUAGAUAUUCGCAAGAACACCAGUGGCGAAGGCGGCUCACUGGCCCGAUACUGACGCUGAGGCACGAAAGCGUGGGGAGCAAAUAGG
rnacentral:rRNA from 1 species